rnacentral:rRNA from 1 species
GAUGAACGCUGGCGGCGUGCCUAAUACAUGCAAGUCGAGCGAACAGACGAGGAGCUUGCUCCUCUGACGUUAGCGGCGGACGGGUGAGUAACACGUGGAUAACCUACCUAUAAGACUGGGAUAACUUCGGGAAACCGGAGCUAAUACCGGAUAAUAUAUUGAACCGCAUGGUUCAAUAGUGAAAGACGGUUUUGCUGUCACUUAUAGAUGGAUCCGCGCCGCAUUAGCUAGUUGGUAAGGUAUCGGCUUACCAAGGCGACGAUGCGUAGCCGACCUGAGAGGGUGAUCGGCCACACUGGAACUGAGACACGGUCCAGACUCCUACGGGAGGCAGCAGUAGGGAAUCUUCCGCAAUGGGCGAAAGCCUGACGGAGCAACGCCGCGUGAGUGAUGAAGGUCUUCGGAUCGUAAAACUCUGUUAUUAGGGAAGAACAAAUGUGUAAGUAACUAUGCACGUCUUGACGGUACCUAAUCAGAAAGCCACGGCUAACUACGUG